rnacentral:rRNA from 1 species
UGGCGGACGGGUGAGUAACGCGUGAGCAACCUGCCUCACAGAGGGGGAUAACACACGGAAACGUGUGCUAAUACCGCAUAAUCCGAUGAAGCGGCAUCGCUUUAUCGGCAAAGGAGCAAUCCGCUGUGAGAUGGGCUCGCAUCCGAUUAGAUAGUUGGUGAGGUAACGGCUCACCAAGUCUACGAUCGGUAGCCGGACUGAGAGGUUGGACGGCCACAUUGGGACUGAGACACGGCCCAAACUCCUACGGGAGGCAGCAGUGAGGGAUAUUGCACAAUGGGCGAAAGCCUGAUGCAGCGACGCCGCGUGAGGGAUGACGGUCUUCGGAUUGUAAACCUCUGUCCUUGGUGAAGAAGAAAGUGACGGUAGCCAAGGAGGAAGCCACGGCUAACUACGUGCCAGCAGCCGCGGUAAUACGUAGGUGGCAAGCGUUGUCCUGAAUUACUGGGUGUA